UUAUGAGGGACUUCUAGUUUCAUGCCUUUGAUUAUUGUUCCAUAAAGUUUGGUAAUGUCUUUUGAAGGUGUGGUAUGGAUUUGAAUUUUAGCUUUUUGCAAUUUUCUUAUGUGUAAUGAAUCUAUGCUACUUUUACCUUUACCUGUAUUUAACUAUACUUUUAUGGAUUAAAAUAUAGUUUAAUGGGUCAAAAACAUUUGUUGCAUACUAUGAACAUACCAAUUAUAUAAUCAUACUCUCUCCUCAGGUUAAGUGACCUACUUUAGAUUCUCACUUUUACACUUCUAUUGCCCUGUAUACUAUAUGUUCGCAUGUGAACCUUAUUGCACAUAGUUAAUUGUUGUCGUUGCUCCUUACGGACGAAUUAGCCUCCGACUCCUUUCUCUUGAUUAGAUCUAGCUUAUCAAAUUGACCUAUGUGAAAGAUUCUCUUGGCAAUGGUGUGGUUUGCAUGCUAAGUCUACCACACUCGCUAACAUGGCUAAGUAUAUGGAGUGUUUAGUUCACCUAAUCGUACAAAAGUAAGGAAGAAAAACAAACAUGUCAAGUUUUAUGAGUUAAGUAAAGUUUAAUGGGGAGAAAUUUGAUGGAAUAAUCAACCUUUGGCUUAUAGCAAGUUCAAGUUAAGAAUGUGCUAAUACAAAGGGGGAUUAUACAAUGCCUUGAAGGAAGACCAUACAAUAGUACUUCCAACAAAUGAUGGUAGUCCAUGAGAUCAGUCUAGUGGUGAUUCCAGUGAAGUGUUCUAAGACCUCCAACAUGAAAGAUAAAGAUUGGAAGGAAAUUAAAUGGAUUUGAGAGCGCUACAAGUGCAAUCAAACUAAAUUUUGUUAAAAAAAUUUUUGCAAGCGUGCAAAGAUCUCUAGGAGAAGCUUGAAGCAUUGUAUUAGACAAAAAAAAAAAAAGCAUAUCCAAUCGAUAUAUUGUAUCUGAAGCAGCAGCUUCACACAUUGUGAAUGGUGGAAAAUACAAAAAUAUUAAAUUACUUGACUAAUCUCAAUGACAUCGUUUUUGAGCUAGAGGUGAUAAAAGUAAAGAUAGAUUAAGUUGAUCAAGAUAAGACACUCCGAUCCCAACACUUCUGAUCACUUCCUUCUUCUUUUGUACAUGAAGCCAAUGUUGAUAUAUAAGAAGAAAACUUUAGUUUUUA